rnacentral:rRNA from 1 species
UGCGUAGGUGGUUAAUUAAGUUAUCUGUGAAAUCCCUGGGCUCAACCUGGGCAGGUCAGAUAAUACUGGUUAACUCGAGUAUGGGAGAGGGUAGUGGAAUUUCCGGUGUAGCGGUGAAAUGCGUAGAGAUCGGAAGGAACACCAGUGGCGAAGGCGGCUACCUGGCCUAAUACUGACACUGAGGCACGAAAGCGUGGGGAGCAAACAGGAUUAGAUACCCUGGUAGUCCACGCUGUAAACGAUGUCAACUAGCUGUUGGUUAUAUGAAUAUAAUUAGUGGCGAAGCAAACGCGAUAAGUUGACCGCCUGGGGAGUACGGUCGCAAGAUUAAA